rnacentral:rRNA from 1 species
AUUGAACGCUGGCGGCAUGCCUUACACAUGCAAGUCGAACGGCAGCACGGGAGCAAUCCUGGUGGCGAGUGGCGAACGGGUGAGUAAUAUAUCGGAACGUGCCCAGUCGUGGGGGAUAACGUAGCGAAAGCUACGCUAAUACCGCAUACUAUCUAUGGACGAAAGCGGGGGAUCGCAAGACCUCGCUCGAAUGGAGCGGCCGAUAUCAGAUUAGGUAGUUGGUGAGGUAAAGGCUCACCAAGCCGACGAUCCGUAGCUGGUCUGAGAGGACGACCAGCCACACUGGGACUGAGACACGGCCCAGACUCCUACGGGAGGCAGCAGUGGGGAAUUUUGGACAAUGGGCGCAAGCCUGAUCCAGCAAUGCCGCGUGCAGGAUGAAGGCCUUCGGGUUGUAAACUGCUUUUGUACGGAGCGAAAAGGCUUCCACUAAUACUGGGGGCUCAUGAUGGUACCGUAAGAAUAAGCACCGGCUAACUACGUGCCAGCCGCCGCCGUAAUAC